AUUUGACCUCCAAUCAGGUAGGAACACCCGCUGAACUUAAGCAUAUCAAUAAGCGGAGGAAAAGAAAAUAACAAUGAUUCCCCUAGUAACUGCGAGUGAAGAGGGACAAGCUCCAAWUUUAAAUCUAUCGGGUUUUACCUGAUCGAGUUGUAAUUUGAAGAAGCGUUUUUUGCGUAUUUGGUCAGCCUAAGUCCUAUUGAAUGAGGCAUCAUGGAGGGUGAUAAUCCCCGUCCGGUUGAUCAUUUGCGUUUUACGAUACGCUUUCUAAGAGUCAAGUUGUUUGGGAUUGCAGCUUAAAAUGGGAGGUAAAUUUCUCCUAAGGCUAAAUAACGGCGAGAGACCGAUAGCGAACAAGUACCGUGAGGGAAAGAUGAAAAGAACUUUGAAAAGAGAGUUAAACAGUACGUGAAAUUGUUGAAAGGGAAACGAUUGAAGCCAGUCGUACCUUCGGGUAAUCAGCCUUUCGGGUGCGAUUCUGUGGAGUGUGAGGAGCUUAAACACCUUCAUGUUUUGCAUAUUCGUACUCUUGGGUGUACUUGCCCGUGUGGUUGGUUAACAUCAAUUUUGGUGGUCAUAAAAUGACUGGGGGAAUGUAGCUUCGAUCUUGUAUUGAAGUGUUAUAGCCUUCGGUAGAUGUGAUGAUCGAGAUUGAGGAUUGCAACGGAUACCCUUUGGGGCUACCUGUCUGAUCUCUGAUCGUUGCUUUGGUGCCGAAAGCUUGCUUACGGUUAUCAAAGUCGAUGGUCAAUAGGUUAGAACGGGUUAAAUUCGUUAAGGAUGUUGACGUAAUGGUUUUAAACGACCCGUCUUGAAACACGGACCAAGGAGUCUAACAUAUAUGCGAGUGUUAGGGUGAUUAAACCCUUACGCGUAAUGAAAGUAAUUUUGGUGGGAACACUUUUGUGCACCAUCGACCGAUCAGGAUAUUUUUUGAUAGAUUUGAGUAAGAGCAUAUCUGCUAGGACCCGAAAGAUGGUGAACUAUGCCUGAAUAGGGUGAAGCCAGAGGAAACUCUGGU
rnacentral:rRNA from 1 species